UGGGGAAUAUUGCGCAAUGGACGAAAGUCUGACGCAGCAACGCCGCGUGAGGGAUGACGGCCUUCGGGUUGUAAACCUCUUUCAGCAGGGACGAAGCGAGAGUGACGGUACCUGCAGAAGAAGGACCGGCCAACUACGUGCCAGCAGCCGCGGUAAUACGUAGGGUCCGAGCGUUGUCCGGAAUUAUUGGGCGUAAAGGGCUCGUAGGCGGUUCGUCACGUCGGGAGUGAAAACUCGGGGCUUAACCCCGAGCCUGCUUCCGAUACGGGCAGACUAGAGGUAGGCAGGGGAGAGCGGAACUCCUGGUGUAGCGGUGGAAUGCGCAGAUAUCAGGAAGAACACCGGUGGCGAAGGCGGCUCUCUGGGCCUUACCUGACGCUGAGGAGCGAAAGCGUGGGUAGCGAACAG
rnacentral:rRNA from 1 species